GCAUUGGCGCGGCUGGCGGCUGCAAUGAGCUCCCGCGAGUCGUCGCUGCGCAUGAAGAGGACCACGACGCGCGCGUUGGGCUUCUGCAACAGUUCUCGGAUCACGCUGUCGUAGGACUUGCGGAUGUUGGAGCGGCCCACCUUCUCCGCCGUAGCGAUGCAGAUGUUGCGCAGGCGGGCUUCCUGCUCGAAGGCCUCGAUCCCUGUCUCCCCGUAAUCACCCUCGGAGGCUACUGUGGACACGUAGGUCCAGUUGAAGAAGCGCAAGAUCUCAGCCAUGGCUUUGGCCUGGUAGAAGUCGGGGGGCACGGUCCUGGCAAAGUAAUCAUAGCGCGACUUAUCACUGAGUUUGGCGCUGGUGGAUGCGUAGCUGAUCUGAGGGAUCUGGAAGAGCCGCAGCAGGACUAGGAGACUCUGGACAAAAUGGCCUAUACUGACUUAUUUAGGCAUAGGAAUAUUGCUUCACUCAGCCUGACUGAAAUGGCAGGUGUCACCAAACAGGUACUGUCAUUACUUCUAGAAUGAGUGCCUGGCUUCCACUGGAUUUAUGUACCACUAUGGAAGGCUUGGUGAUAGGAGCCCUGUCUAUGCAUAGCUUGACUUUGUUAAGAGGUUUCUGGCUAGCACUGGAGAGGCCAUCUCUUCUUGAUACAAUGAUUUUCUCAUCUUCAAGUUAUAUUA
rnacentral:lncRNA from 1 species